GUACAUCCAGAGAACUUAGCAGAGAUGCUUUGGUGCCUUCGGGAACUCUGAGACAGGUGCUGCAUGGCUGUCGUCAGCUCGUGUUGUGAAAUGUUGGGUUAAGUCCCGCAACGAGCGCAACCCUUAUCCUUUGUUGCCAGCGGUUCGGCCGGGAACUCAAAGGAGACUGCCGGUGAUAAACCGGAGGAAGGUGGGGAUGACGUCAAGUCAUCAUGGCCCUUACGGCCAGGGCUACACACGUGCUACAAUGGCGCAUACAAAGAGAAGCGACCUCGCGAGAGCAAGCGGACCUCAUAAAGUGCGUCGUAGUCCGGAUUGGAGUCUGCAACUCGACUCCAUGAAGUCGGAAUCGCUAGUAAUCGUAGAUCAGAAUGCUACGGUGAAUACGUUCCCGGGCCUUGUACACACCGCCCGUCACACCAUGGGAGUGGGUUGCAAAAGAAGUAGGUAGCUUAACCUUCGGGAGGGCGCUUACCACUUUGUGAUUCAUGACUGGGGUGAAGUCGUAACAAGGUAGGCGUAGUGCU
rnacentral:rRNA from 1 species